rnacentral:rRNA from 1 species
CCUACGGGAGGCAGCAGUAGGGAAUCUUUCACAAUGGGCGAAAGCCUGAUGGAGCAACGCCGCGUGCAGGAUGAAGGCCUUCGGGUUGUAAACUGCUUUUAUAAGCGAGAAAUAUGAUGGUAACUUAUGAAUAAGGAUCGGCUAACUACGUGCCAGCAGCCGCGGUCAUACGUAGGAUCCGAGCAUUAUCCGGAGUGACUGGGUGUAAAGAGUUGCGUAGGUGGCAUAAUAAGUAGCUAGUGAAAUCUGGUGGCUCAACCAUUCAGACUAUUAGCUAAACUGUUAAGCUCGAGACCGUUAGGGGUAACUGGAAUUUCUAGUGUAGGAGUGAAAUCCGUAGAUAUUAGAAGGAACACCAAUAGCGUAGGCAGGUUGCUGGGACGGUUCUGACGCUGAGGCUCGAAAGCGUGGGGAGCAAACAGGAUUAGAUACCCUUGUAGUC